UCAUCACAUUUAACAGAUGAUUAGAGAGUGAACAAAAUAACUAAAAGUUAUAUACCUUAAAAUAGUAAUAAAAAGAACCUAAACACUGUUGUAAGCAUUUUCCAUAAGGUUGUUUGUAUAGUUAAGAGGUUUAUCAACCCAAAUUUAAAUGAGCAUUGUAUCAAAUUCUGAUAAUCAAUUUCUCAGAUUAUAAUUCCCCUACAGUUAUUUGAUUUUAAAAAACGAUUUUUCUCCUGUGUUUUUGGUUAAAUAAAUCUCUUAAUAAAUCCUGGCCUUGCUUGUGGUGGGAAGCUAAGUAACUGGGAACCAAAGGAUGAUGCUAUGUCAAAACAUUGGAGAUAUUUUCCCAACUGUCCAUUUUUGGAAAAUUCUCUAGAAACUCUGAGGUUUAGCAUUUCAAAUCUGAGCAUGCAGACAUAUGCAGCUUGAAUGAGCACAUUUAUGUAUUGGCCAUCUAGUGUUCCAGUUCAGCCUGAGCAGCUUGCAAGUGCUGGUUUUUAUUAUGUGGGUCGCAAUGAUGAUGUCAAAUGCUUUUGUUGUGAUGGUGGCUUGAGGUGUUGGGAAUUUGGAGAUGAUCCAUGGGUACAACAUGCCAAGUGGUUUCCAAGGUGUGAGUUCUUGAUACACAUGAAAGGGCAAGGGUUUGUUGAUGAGAUUCAAGGUCGAUAUCCUCAUCUUCUUGAACAGCUAUUGUCAACUUCAGAUACUCCUGGAGAUGAAAAUGCUGAUCCACCAAUUGUUCAUUUUGGAUCUGGAGAAAGUGCUUCAGAAGAUGCAGUCAUGAUGAAUACACCUGUGGUGAAAUCUGCCUUGGAAAUGGGCUUUAGUAGAAGCCUGGUAAGACAAACAGUUCAGAGCAAAAUCCUAACUACUGGAGAGAACUACAAAACAGUCAAUGAUAUUGUAUCAGCUCUUCUUAAGGCUGAAGAUGAAAAAAGAGAAGAGGACAAGGAAAGACAAGCUGAAGAAAUGGCAUCAGAUGACUUGCCAUUAAUUCGGAAGAAUAGAAUGGCUCUCUUUCAGCGGUUGACGUGUGUGCUUCCUAUCCUGGAUAAUCUUUUAAAGGCAAAUGUGUAA